rnacentral:rRNA from 1 species
GACGAACGCUGGCGGCGUGCUUAACACAUGCAAGUCGAACGGAAAGGCCCUGCUUUUGUGGGGUGCUCGAGUGGCGAACGGGUGAGUAACACGUGAGUAACCUGCCCUUGACUUUGGGAUAACUUCAGGAAACUGGGGCUAAUACCGGAUAGGAGCUCCUGCUGCAUGGUGGGGGUUGGAAAGUUUCGGCGGUUGGGGAUGGACUCGCGGCUUAUCAGCUUGUUGGUGGGGUAGUGGCUUACCAAGGCUUUGACGGGUAGCCGGCCUGAGAGGGUGACCGGCCACAUGGGGACUGAGAGACGGACCAGAAUCCUACGGGAGGCAGCAGGGGGGAAUAUUGCACAAUGGGCGGAAGCCUGAUGCAGCAACGCCGCGUGCGGGAUGACGGCCUUCGGGUGGUAAACCGCUUUCGCCGGUGACGAAGAGUGAGUGACGGUAAUGGGUAAAGAAGCACCGGCUAACUACGUG